rnacentral:rRNA from 1 species
GCUCGUGGAUCGAUGAAGACCGCAGCUAAAUGCGCGUCAGAAUGUGAACUGCAGGACACAUGAACACCGACAAGUUGAACGCAUAUUGCACCUCGUACAACAGUACGAGGUACACAUUUUUGAGUGCCUAUAUUUAACCACAUUCAACUAUACGUGUGUGCGCGUACCACUCCGGGUGGACAGGCGCACGGCCCCCCCUCCGGGCAGCACGUAUGCGGAGUGACGUUUUCCCGCGCGGUUCGCCCGCCACGGUAAAACGUUGAAGAUAGUCAGGCGCGUCGCCCCGCGUGGUCGACGUGGUUGAUGAAUACAUCCCAUAGGCCGCCACCACCAUGUAUCGGCUACGUUGUGUUCCAUCAGCGUGUGCCCCCUCCCGGGGUAUACCCUAUCGGCAUAUCAGUAGGCCUCAAAUAAUGUGUGACUACCCCCUAAAUUUAAGCA